GAUUCCUAAGAUAGUGUUCACUCUUGCCAUCUCCUGCUUGACCACUUCAAAUUCACCUUGAUUCAUGGACAUAACAUUCCAGGUUCCUAUGCAAUAAUGUUCUUUACAGAAUCGGACGUUACUUCCAUCACCAGUCACAUCCUCAACUGGGCUUUGUUUUUUCUUUGGCUCAGCCACCUCAUUCCUUCUGGAGCUGUUAGUAACUGUCUUCUGCUCUUCCCCAGUAGCGUGCUGGACACUUUCCAACCUGGGGGGCUCAUCUUUGGUGUCAUAUCUUUUUGCUUUUUAUAC